CAGUCGCCGCGGGAAUACGAAGGGUGCAAGCGUUACUCGGAAUUACUGGGCGUAAAGCGUGCGUAGGUGGUGGUUUAAGUCCGUUGUGAAAGCCCUGGGCUCAACCUGGGAAUUGCAGUGGAUACUGGGUCACUAGAGUGUGGUAGAGGAUAGUGGAAUUUCCGGUGUAGCAGUGAAAUGCGUAGAGAUCGGAAGGAACAUCUGUGGCGAAGGCGACUAUCUGGGCCAACACUGACACUGAGGCACGAAAGCGUGGGGAGCAAACAGGAUCAGAUACCCCUGUAGUCCCUGUCUCUUAUAC
rnacentral:rRNA from 1 species